AGGUGAACCUGCGGAAGGAUCAUUGUCGAAACCUGCAAAGCAGACCGUGAACUCGUGUUUAACCGCACUGGGGCUGCGGUGCGGCGGGGGGAGCCUCCCCGUGCCGUCGGCCCCGACCCCGCUCGGCGUGCGCUCGCGCACGUUGGGUGGGCUAACGAACCCCGGCGCGGAAUGCGCCAAGGAAAACUGAAACGAAGCGCCUCGCCCCCUCCCACCCCGUUCGCGGUGUGCUCGGGUAGGGGGUGGGGGCGUCUAACGUGUACAAUGUCAAAACGACUCUCGGCAACGGAUAUCUCGGCUCUCGCAUCGAUGAAGAACGUAGCGAAAUGCGAUACUUGGUGUGAAUUGCAGAAUCCCGUGAACCAUCGAGUCUUUGAACGCAAGUUGCGCCCGAAGCCAUCAGGCCGAGGGCACGUCUGCCUGGGCGUCACGCAUCGCGUCGCCCCCCAUCGCCCGCUCCCACGGAGCGGCUGCGGGGUGGGGGGCGGACAUUGGCCUCCCGUGUGCUCCCGCCCGCGGCCGGCCCAAAUGCGAUCCCCCGGCGACGCACGUCGCGACCAGUGGUGGUUGAAUGCUCAACUCGCGUGCUGUCCGUCGCGCCCCACGUCGUCGUCCGGACGGGCAUCACGAACGACCCUCCAACUGCGCGAGGCGCAUCCGACCGCGACCCCAGGUCAGGCGGGACUACCCG
rnacentral:rRNA from 1 species